CGGGCACCCGGAGGCGGCCCAGGCGGGGGUCUCCCCCGGGGCCUGGGGCGGGCCGAAGAUGUCCAGGCCUGGCCGGAGCCGCCUCCUGAUUGACGAGGCCCGCAUGGGAGUGCGGACGUGCAGCACAGAUUUGCGGGUCUCCUGGGCCUCUUGGGCGGUGAUCAGCGCGGACCUUGGGCCAACCGGGGAAGCAGGCCGGAGCACUACCCCCCACCCCCAUUUUAGAACAUCCUUCUGAGGGCUUCGCUGACCUCGGCUUGAACUCCUUCAGAGCCGGAGAGAUCACUCCUUCCACCACCGAGGGAGAGGAGGCAAAAUGAAUUUGCCAGCUUUGAAUUCAUUCUCAAGGCUCCGCUAGUCUCACAGCCAGUGAACUCAGUCUGGAAUUCCUGAAAGCUCAGAAAACUGCUGCUUAGGUGGCAGCUGAGCAUCCCUGGAGAGGGUGGGUGGUAUGAAAGCACUUCCAGACCUCUAGGGACACCAGGGAGUCAUGGUCCCAGCACAUUGCUGUGUGAUUGAGCCCCUCCUCAGCCUGUGGGUGGCCUAAGUUCACAGGGAGGUAAUGGGGUAGAUUGGAUACCUCUGGGGUCUUGGAAGAAGCUAUGACUUAUUUACUGUCUACUAUGUGAAAUGACUGGACUCUUCUAUGGACCCAGUGGAGCUCAGACAAGGGUCCAGGCCCUGACACUGCCCCAGAGCAGGGGUGCCAGCACCUAUGAGGAUGCCAAGCUCAGGUCAUCGCCCUGCGGUGUCUCAGCCAACUGGGCCUCGAACAGCCCCAUAAACUUGGACAUAAACACAAUUAAAGUUUUUUAUUACAUUAUAUUUUGUACAUAUAAAAGACUAUUUGUAAGCCAUGAAACAUUACAAUGAAUGCUCAUGACUACUCUGCUGAAGAACUAGAGUAUUAGGGACACUUGUGAAGCUCCGACCUUCCCAGCCCCCUACUUCCCAGAAGGAGCCACUAUCCUAAUUGUCAUUACUCUCUGCUGUUUUUGUUUGUUUGUUUUUUAAGGAGUCUCAUUCUGUUGCCCAGGCUGGAGUGCAGUGGCGUGAUCUCGGUUCACUGAAACCUCUGCCUCCUGAGUUCAAGCGAUUCUCCUGCCUUAGCCUCCUGUGUAGUUGGGAUUACAGGUGUGCACCACCACGCCAGGCUAAUGUUUUGUAUUUUUAGUAAUGAUGAGGGUUCACCAUGUUGGCCAGGCUGGUCUCAAACUCCUGACCUCAGGUGAUCCACCCACCUCGCUUCCCAAAGUGCCGGGAUUACAGGCAUGAGCUACCACGCCCAGCCUCUCCCUGCCUCUUUUUAACAGAAAGUUUUAGCACCUGUGUGGAGACCCCUUCACUCACUGCACUUUUUUUUUUUUAAGAGGUGGGAUCUCACUCUG
rnacentral:lncRNA from 1 species